AUUGAACGCUGGCGGCAGGCCUAACACAUGCAAGUCGAACGAGUGGCGGACGGGUGAGUAAUGUCUGGGAAACCGCCCGAUGGAGGGGGAUAACUACUGGAAACGGUAGCUAAUACCGCAUACCAUCAGACGUGCCCAGAUGGGAUUAGCUUGUUGGUGGGGUAACGGCUCACCCAGGCGACGAUCCCUAGCUGGUCUGAGAGGAUGACCGGCCACACUGGAACUGAGACACGGUCCAGGCUCCUACAGAAGGCUGCAGUGGGGAAUAUUGCACAGUAGGCACAAGCCUGAUGCGGCCAUGCCGCGUGUAUGAAGAAGGCCUUCGGGUUGUAAAGUACUUACAGCGGGGAGGCGUUACCCGCAGAAGAAGCACCGGCUAACUCCGUGCCAGCAGCCGCGGUAAUAC
rnacentral:rRNA from 1 species